UACGAAGGGGGCUAGCGUUGCUCGGAAUCACUGGGCGUAAAGGGUGCGUAGGCGGGUCUUUAAGUCAGGGGUGAAAUCCUGGAGCUCAACUCCAGAACUGCCUUUGAUACUGAGGAUCUUGAGUUCGGGAGAGGUGAGUGGAACUGCGAGUGUAGAGGUGAAAUUCGUAGAUAUUCGCAAGAACACCAGUGGCGAAGGCGGCUCACUGGACCAUAACUGACGCUGAUGCACGAAAGCUGGGGGAGCAAACAGG
rnacentral:rRNA from 1 species